GGACUACUGGGGUUUCUAAUCCCGUUCGCUCCCCUGGCUUUCGCGUCUCAGCGUCAGUAGGCAUCCAGGACCUCGCUUUCGCCACGGGCGUUCCUUCCGAUCUCAACGCAUUUCACCGCUCCACCGGAAGUUCCAGGUCCCCCUAUGCCCCUCCAGACUCGUCGUAUCCACGCCCGUUCCCCGGUUGAGCCGGGGGAUUUCAGCGACAGACGCACGAAUCCGCCUACACGCGCUUUAAGCCCAAUGAUUCCGAAUAACGUUCGCACGGUUCGUCUUACCGCGGCUGCUGGCAC
rnacentral:rRNA from 1 species